GAUGAACGCUGGCGGCGUGCCUAAUACAUGCAAGUCGAGCGAACAGACGCGGAGCUUGCUUUUCUGACGUUAGCGGCGGACGGGUGAGUAACACGUGGAUAACCUACCUAUAAGACUGGGAUAACUUCGGGAAACCGGAGCUAAUACCGGAUAAUAUCUUGAACCGCAUGGUUCGAUAGUGAAAGACGGUUUUGCUGUCACUUAUAGAUGGAUCCGCGCUGCAUUAGCUAGUUGGUAAGGUAACGGCUUACCAAGGCAACGAUGCGUAGCCGACCUGAGAGGGUGAUCGGCCACACUGGAGCUGAGACACGGUCCAGGCUCCUACGGGAGGCAGCAGUAGGGAAUCUUCCGCAAUGGGCGAAAGCCUGACAGAGCAACGCCGCGUGAGUGAUGAAGGUCUUCGGAUCGUAAAACUCUGUUAUUAGGGAAGAACAGAUGUGUAAGUAACUGUGCACGUCUUGACGGUACCUAAUCAGAAAGCCACGGCUAACUACGUG
rnacentral:rRNA from 1 species